GCUUUUUUUUUUUUUUCAAAGCUUUAGCAAUAAAGGAAGCCAAAAACUCCUCCCACCUGUAUCUGAAGCAGGUUGGUGGCAUUUGCAUUGAGUUCCUUCCCCCCUUGGUCAGAGCUGAGAGCAAGGACUUCUGCGGUUGCUUUCAAAACAAGUUAGCACAAGCAGUCUACACUAGCUUUCAUUUUAAAAUGACAGAAUGCGAGGUCUAACCUUUUUGUGUUUCUGAUGGAUGGUGAUAGUGAUAAACUUCAGGACGGUGAGGGCUCUGAGCCUGCAUGCAAGAACCCGGCUGCAAAUGAUUAAUUUAUCCGUGUGAUCUCCAUCUGGUCCAGUCUGGAUCACCCACCAUAAAAACAAACAUGGCAUUGGAUGUGAAGUCAUUAAUACGUAAUUAGCUGUGCUAGUAAACUCAAAGAGCCUAGAGAGAAAUACUGUUGGCACUGAGGAUAUCUGGGUGUUGUCAAGAGCUUGAUUUAGUCAAUGAGUUUUAGAAUUUUUUUUUUCUGCUCCUGCUUUUAAGCAGGUGCAGAGAAAACUGACUGCUGCAGGAAAAGAUGGGACAGGAGAUGGGAUUUUAAAGGUCAAGUUCAUUGAUCUUCUGCCUGAAUGAUUAUGUCAAGGGUAACCUUCCUGAAUGUCAGAGGGACGAUCUCUGGUACAGGACCACAUGCGUUUGGUGGUUGGCUUGUAAAUGAGGUAGUUCUCUUCACUUUUAAAACUCUUACUAUGUUUAAAUAUGUUUAUUAUGUGUAUGUGUGGAGAUCAGAGGGCAGCUUCUCUCCUUUUCCCAUAUUGGUUCCAGGAAUCUAGCUCAGGUUGUCAAGUCAGUGUCUUUGCCUGCCGAGCCAUCUUGCCUGCCCUCCCUGAGUCUUCGAGGCUUUAAAAGGGUUAUUCGUGAAGCACAGCUUUGUACUGAGGAGGCUCACGGGACUUACCCAGUCCAGAGCAACUUUUCCAUAGGAGAGUUUGAGGCCAGCAUCUGGGUAUGCCUGUCUUCACAGUGACUUAGUGAGGGAACGGAAGAACAUAGUUUUGCAAGUAGUUAAUAUUUAAUUAGAUCAUUCCCAGAAAUAUCUAGCAAGCUGCCAGGCAGACUCCUUGCAAGAAAGACCUAGAGAGCCCUGGUUUACUGCUUCUGUGUGUCUUUUGGGACAGAAAAUAGCACAUCCAGUCCUGGGACCUGCCUCGCUUUGGACCACAACGCCUGUCUUGACAUUGAUGCUUGGUUGGGUGGUGACUGUUGAGUAGCUAGCUUGGAUUUGAAGUCCUCAGCAGCCUGCCAGCCUCUCCUCUUGGGUUCCUGGAGCCAGGAGGAAGAGGAAUGCUUCCAUGUUUGCUCUGUGGACAGGACACACCCUGUUUUGCAGAGAGCUCUGUGGUUACCUCUCAGGAGUGUGGGGGAGGCAGUCAGUCAUCCCUCCUUCUGGCAGCUGGCUCCUCCACUCUGAGCGUCUGACCCCAGGGCGUGUCCUGGAGACAGUGUCCCAGAGGCAGUCCAUUCCGCCCCAUGACUUUAGUCUCUUUGGUGAUACCCCCUUUCAAAUUGAUUGUAAAAUGCUAGACAACUCAUUGUACCUGUAUUCUGAAUGGUACAACUCAUUGUACCUGUAUUCUGAAUAGUACAAUUCAUUGUACCUGUAUUCUGAAUAGUACAGCACAUUGUACCUGUAUUCUGAAUAGUACAACUCAUUGUACCUGUAUUCUGAAUGGUACACCUCAUUGUACCUGUAUUCUGUAGUACACCUCAUUGUACCUGUAUUCUGAAUAGUACAACUCAUUGUACCUGUAUUCUGAAUGGUACAGUACAUUGUACCUGUAUUCUGAAUGGUACAACUUAUUGUACCUGUAUUCUGAAUAGUACAGCACAUUGUACCUGUAUUCUGUAGUACACCUUUGGAAAAAGAGAGUUGUGACUUCGUGGAGCACACGUGUAGACAGGAUAGACCAGAUCUCAUGUGUUUGUUCACCUUGCGGUGGGCAAGUUGUCUGACUACAGAGCCUGCUGCUUCUGCAGAAAACAGGGAUAGUUCUGUGUUUCUGGAAGAGUGUACUCUGAGAUACUGUGAGGCGGGUUGAGUCAUGUCCCUGCAAAGAUGACCACAGCCUAACUGUGUUAUUUGUGUAAUUCGCAUUGUAGAUGGAAUCAAGUUGCUCAUCUGACCUCGAGGUGGGAGGUUGUAUGAGUUACCAGGUGGGCCCUGCAUAACAGGGUCCCUAAAUGUAGAUGAGGGAAUUGGAGAGGCAACUGGCUACAAUGACUUGAGGUUGAACUCUAUGGGUGGGUUCGAAGCAGCCAACUGCUAAGGAAUAAUGCCAUCCUUUAUAAACUGGGAAAGGCAAGGAAACAGAUUUCUGCCCUAGAACCUACACUAAGAAACCCAGCCCUAUUGGUGCUUCAGUACCCAUUCUAGGGGCUGGGAAUGUAGUUCAGUGGAUUCCUGAACCCAUGAGUUUGAUCCCAAGCACGAUAUAAAUCCAUCAUGGUGGCAUAGGCUACACCCUUAGCCACAAGGCCAGCAUGGGCAAUAAGAACAUGGCAGACUGACGGAUGGCAGGAAGAACUGUAAGGUGUACCAGUGCUGUUGGAGGACACUACAACUGCAGCAAUGUGUUACAGCAGCAACAGGGGAUAAUACAUCCAACACAGUAAGCAUAACUAGUGUCUAGCACAUAGUAGGGUCUCAGCAAAGUUGCCCUGCCAUUCUCCACUCCUUCCACCCCCAGAGUUCAAAAUCUGGACCUCUAUGAAAGAGGUAAGCCAUCUUUGGAGCACACUAUGCAGCUAGAGGCCAUGAGCAUCCUGAUUGUACGCGCCCUUCUGCGGGAACACACAGCUGCCCUUGUUGUUGCUUCUCUGAGCCUCCGACUUACCCACAACAUGCAGAGACAGAGGGGAGGGACCUUUUCGCAGGUCAGGCUGAGAGAAACCCUGUAAUCAUAGUGCAGGGUUAAACCCAGGGCAGCAUUAGCUUCAGAGGUGAAAGGGUGAGGGGGGGGGUGAGGCAGCCCCACUGGGAGCCAGCUGCUGAGGCAGAGCUUCCGAUUGAUUUCCAGGUCAAUGACGCAGCUCUUCAUCAGCCCCCCUCCCCUCCAGGACCAAACUCCUGUAAAGACUGACGUUUAUUGACAAGUCCUGACUUCUGGCUGCAGCUGCUUGAAUAGUAGCACUGCGGAAUAGACACAGAAGAGGGGCCACAUAUGUAAUAUUCAGAUCAUCUACUGGCUUCUAGAAAAUGCAAGCAGGCAGGCGAAGUUAAUUUGGAUUGUGUCUUUGACUUCAGCCACGGUGUGAGUCUUUGAAGCAUCCUCUUCCUGUGGAGCUCUGUGGAGUAUGAAUGGGCUAUCUCUCAGUUCUGUCCUCCGAGGAGCCUCAGCCUUGGGGCAUUCAGCAGCUGCCUGUGGACAGUGCAGCUGAGUAGGCAUGGGCCUGUGUCACAACAGCUGGCUGAAUGAGAGGAGACAAAGUCAAGGCCCCUGUCAGAAAGCAAAGAAUAGCCUGACUCACACGCUUCAGAAGCUACGCUUAAGGUGCGUUGGGGCCUGACUCCCAGGAUGCCGGAAUUCUGAAGUCUCCUCUUCCAGGCUAGGCCAGGGUGGGACUGUGCUGCCUCCUUCCUGCCUUUGCUUCUGUGCACCCCUGGGGCACACUGACUGCGUCUCUUGACCUAGUCCUGCAGAAUUGGGGUACAGAGUAGAAGGGGAAAAGUCACCUUUGCACCCCCCAGGGAAGAGACGUACCAGCUUGGCAAGUGCACUGAGCAGUUAGGAACCUCAUCAGGCCUGGCUCCGCCAUUGCUCUGCGCUUCAGUUUCGCAUCACACCACCUUCUCCCUCCCUCCCUCCCCUUUCUUUCUUUCUUUUCCUAGACAUGGUUUCUGUGUAUUCCUGUCCUAGAACUCACUCUGUAGACCAGGCUGGCCUCAAACUCAGAGAUCUGCCCACUUCUGUCUCCUGAGUGCUAGAAUUAAAGGCAUAUGCCACCACCACCACCACCUGGUCUAGUUUCCUCAUUUUCAAGACAGUCAUAAUAACAUGGCACUGGCCCAAUGGGGUAGCUGUAGGUAUUUGCAGGGGUGUAGCAAAUAUGUCAGCGAUUAGAUUGUGUGCAGAAAAGCAGACACGACUGAAGGAGAUAGAAGGUGUCCCUUGGUUCUGAGGAUAGCCAGCUGUGUGCGAGGGACACUGAGCCAAGCAGCACAGGGAAGCAGAGCUGGGUAGAGCAUCUGGAGGGGCACAUUGUGCACUGCCCCUUCAAGGAUGGGGUCGGGGUGCACCUUCCAUACACUACCCGCUCCUGUCACUGUCGCACUCCCUGCAGACCUGCCCCCUUUCAGAAUGGGGAAGACCUCCUCCCUGACCCAGCUCCAAGGCCGGUGUCCAGCCAUUGCUGUACAGGAGCCCGUGAAUGGAACCCAGCCGGCCACUUGAUCCCAGCAGCUAGGUCCUGUGCGUGAGAGGAAACCCUGUCGGGUAGAGUGAAGGCCUGAUUGGCAAAGAGCAGGGAAACUGAGCUGGCUAACCCGAGAUGCCAGGCAGGCCUGGCUGCCCUGACUCUACUGGUCAGCUUUGCCCUUCUCCCUUGUCCGCCUGGGAACCGCUAUUUCUUUCAGGGCUGACUGGAUUAUCACUUUAUAUAUGAUGGCGUUUCUCUUCCUCUGCCCAAGCUCCUCCUCCCUCUAGUUCCCUGCUUCUGAUGGCGUAAUGUACGGUGUCUCUACGUGGCCUGGCAGAAAUUCUAGAGCAGUGGUACUUCCUAACACUGUGACUAUUUAAUACAGUUCCUCAUGUUGUGAUGACCCCCAACCGUAAGGUUAUUUUCCUUAUUACUUUAUAACUGUAAAUUUGCUACUGCUAUUAAUUGUAAUAUAAAUAUCUGAUAUGCAGAAUAUCUGAUAAGUGACCCCUGUGAGAGGGUUGUUCGACCCCCAAAAGAGGUUGGGGCCCAUAAGCUGAGACCUGGUGUUGUCUAGAGAGACACACCUCUCAGCUUGGACUGUUAAAACAAUGGACCCCAAGAGAUGGGAAAUUCCCCAGGAAUCUCACACUGGGAGAAGGAAAAGGCUGGGAGCAGGAAGGGAACUUGUCUCCUGAAGAGACUUCCGGUUCUAAGAACUUGUCACCAUGCAAGAUGAGACUGGAGCCCUGCCAGUGGGGAUCAGUGGUGGGCAUCCUUGCAGGUGGGAUGUUCCUGGCCCUGGCCCUCUGUUUAAACUUAAUCUGACUGCAGGACCCUGCAGGUAAAUUUAAGGGGGUCACUAGAUCUUUGUCCUCCUUUCCACUGUGGCCACGUUGAAUGAAUCUCCUUUCCCUGCUCUUUCCUAGUCCUUUGGCUGUUUGAAUUGGCUCCCAGAGGAAGGGUGGUGGAGCUCAGUGGCUCUGACAUACAGCAGUCAGCCUGCAGGGCAGGGAGAUGUGGGCAGCUGUGGCCCCGCUGCCAUUCAGGUAUGCCCACCUACUGUCCCUGAGGUCCUCAGGUGAGGACCACGCGCCCUCCUUAGGGCUGCACUGAACGGCUCACGGUAAGGACAGCCCUGGGAAGCAGCAAGCCUCAUCCCACUUUUCACUCUCGGGCUGCCUCUCCCCCUGGCCUGGACGGCCACAGCAUCACACUGGACUGAGUGAGCCCAUGGAAGACAUUAGUCCUGGCAGGCAGGCCCUUUCCUUCUUGCUAGAUAACAUAAGCCCUGAGCUGCAUAGGUUCAUAGGCCCGGGUGUGACUCAGUCCUCUGCCUUGUGGGACAGACAGGUCUGUGACAUCACUAAUACCGCAGGAACAAAACCACCCAGCCACCUCCCUGUCCGUCUAGAUUCUGGCACAGCAGAGGUGUGACUCAGGACCACGUCUUUCUGUUCUGUAUUCCACCCACAAAGUCUGGAGCUGGGGUGGCAGUGGAUUGGGCCACGAAUUUGUCAAUAGUGGCCAUAGGACAGGUUCUUUCCCAGGGUUUUUAUGCUGUCCUUGAGGUGUUGACUGUCACAGACUAAUUCUUGCAUUUCCUCAGUGGUAGAAUGAUGGGGAAGUCAGGACCAAAGGGACAGGAGACUCGAGUGAAGAGGGGUGCAGUUGGAUGGACCAGGGCCAGUUGAUUGCUGACUUCCUGUCUGCUGAAAUGAUCAGCCUUGGGCCUCUGUGCUGCUUUGCAUAUGGCCCCGUCCUAGCCUCCUCGGCUACAGAACUCCUGUGUUUGUGGUCAUCAAUGGCCUUUGAGGUAGCAAAAGUGUUUGAAUGAGAGCACUCUGUCCUCCAAGCCAGUCUUUGGAAUCACAGAGCAAAAUAACUCACCACCCUGCCAACAGCUCUGAGCCUGGGCUCUUGGAGGAAC